UAACAUGGAAAAGAAAUAAAUAAAAGGACACGUUAUCCCUCUCUCUUUUCUCCGAGACUCUCACUCCAUUCAGUACCUCACCCUCUCAUCUAUCACUCACUUUCCACAAUGAAAAAGAAGAAACAAAAAGAAAAAGUCUCUCCUUUUCACGUUGGGGGAACCUCCUUCGUCUUCCUCAACAACUCUCACCACCAUAAAUCACCGGCGAAACGCUCGAACAACACAAACCUUUCACCGUAACGUCGCUCCUUCAUUUUCCUAUUUAAAAUCCAACAACCAUACCCCACAACCUCAAUCUUCCUCAUCCAUUGCCGACCGUCAUCAACCGCCACAGCCGCCAACAUUCCAACAACCAUACCCCACAACCUCAAUCUUCCUCAUCCAUUGCCGACCGUCAUCAACCGCCACAGCCGCCAACAUCUACACCGCGCUCACCAUCUCCAGCCGCGCGUUCUUCCUCACCAUCUGUCGUCCACCGAAUCGCCGGCAAAACCUCUCAACAUAACCGCUCAACACCCUUCUUCUCCACUUCGACCGUCGAAAUACUCCUCCGAUUCACCUCACAUCUUCCAUCACUUUAACAAGCGUAAUCUCACCGUGAGCAACUCCACUCAGCCGCUCCUUUCCUUCAACAGAAGCUAAAGUCAUCUUCUCCAAUUCAACACUGUUUUUUUGUUUUGCUUUCAAAAUUGGGAAGGUUAUAUUUUCUAUUCUGCUUGGGUGUUAUCUCUUUUCUGCAGGUUGAGUUUAAUUUACUAACCUGAUCGGGAUACCGCAAGGAUGUGAUUCAAUUAGAUGUCGCGAUGUACACGUUUCAGUUAUGAUUUGUUCCUCUUUGGAUCGCCGCUUCGGUUACGGUACCGAGUUUCUUACAUUUCUCAUAAUUCAUAUAUAUCUUGUGAUAAGCUAAAAGUUGUGAUUGAAUUACAAAGUCAAAAUUUGUGCAGAAUGAGCAUCCUGCUGCUGUGGAACAAUAGAAAUAUUUUGUUUUAAUUUUAGUAUAUAUUUUAAAAUUGGCUCUGCACUAUUACUGUUAAAUAUGUGCAGAAUGAAGUUCCAUCCCUGUUUUAAAAGUGAUCAAACCAACAUAUAAAACAUUGUUAAAUUAAUGAAACAUUUUCUUAUGAAUUUUUUAACUAUAAGAGAAAUAGUUCAUAGUCACGAUCGAUCGGUGAGGUCGCCGAAAUAUCAUUGUUUUCCUUUGAUAAAAUGUUGAUGUUGCUGCUCCGAAUGAGUCUGAGUUGUCGUCUACGGCACUAGUUGUUUUUUUGGAUCAGUGAUGACAUAUCCAUUGUUACGGUACAAAUCAAUUUAAAUUUGUGGCAUAACGUUGAAUCUUUCAUUUUCAUAACAGUACUGGAUAUAUUUGGGAUAGGUUGUGUUUGGGGUAAUUUUUCGGUUCCAUCUUAGAUAUGUAUUCAUUUUGCUUUGAACUCUGCAUUGCUUAUGUUAGUUAUCCUUUUGUAGCAGGAUGUACCAGUAAUUUUCUUUUCUUUUCUUGAAGUGGCUUUACUUGGCUUUUAUUUUUCGGUUGCAAUUACUAUUCAUUUUCAAUUCAAAUUAUUCAGUGAUUGGUAUUAUGUUUGUAUGUUGGAAUUCUAGUAAUCCUGUAAAUAAUCAUAACGUGUUCUAUUUUUCCUUUGCACUAUAUUAUAUCUAUUUCGGUUUCAAUUUGAUUACUUUGCGUAUCGUCUACAUUAUGCGUUUCAAUAACGAAUGCUUGUAUGUCGAAGUUUUGUUUUGAGUUAUAUGUUGGAUUUUUAAUGACAUGGUAAUGAUCUUGUAAUUAUGAUAAUUACGCGUUCUAUUUUACACUGUAUUGUGAGUUUUGAUUACAUAUGUGUUUCGAUUGCGUAUCCAUUUCGGUUAUAGUUUUGUAAAUUACUGAUAAUUCCCUUUUGUUGAUUCUGUUAACUCUAUUUUUUACAAGAUGAUUAAGUGAUUGUUGUUCCCACUUGUUUAACUGAUAUGGCGAACUAAGUGUAUAACUUACCGGAUAUUUUUAUGCUUGUAAUGCUAUCCAUAGUUUUGACAAUGUUGAAAUUUUGUGCUUUAAAAUUUAAGUUCUUUUCAUUAAAAGCCAACACUUUUGUUUUGCUGCACAUUUUAAUGGUAGGGCUG
rnacentral:lncRNA from 1 species